rnacentral:rRNA from 1 species
AGCCCGCUCAGAAACUCAAAGGAAUUGACGGGGGCCCGCACAAGCGGAGGAACAUGUGGUUUAAUUCGAUGAUACGCGAGGAACCUUACCUGGGCUUAAAUGUAGAGUGCAUUUUUUAGAGAUAGAAAUUCCCUUCGGGGCUUUCUGCAAGGUGCUGCAUGGUUGUCGUCAGCUCGUGCCGUGAGGUGUCGGGUUAAGUCCCAUAACGAGCGCAACCCUUAUCGUUAGUUGCCAGCUGGUAAAGCAGGGGACUCUAGCGAAACUGCCACCGUAAGGUGAGAGGAAGUGGGGAUGACGUCAAAUCAGCACGGCCCUUAUGUCCAGGGCUACACACGUGUUACAAUGGCCGGCACAGAGGGCAGCUACCUGGUGACAGGAUGCUAAUCUCGAAAACCGGUCUCAGUUCGGAUCGAAGUCUGCAACUCGACUUCGUGAAGCUGGAUUCGCUAGUAAUCGCGCAUCAGCCAUGGCGCGGUGAAUACGUUCCCGGGCCUU